GCGGACUAACGUAACUUGUAGACGUUCGUCACGGAAUAAUGAAUGAAGUCUUGCUGCUGUCCGCGACUUGUCUUCUGCUUUUGUGUUUGCACGGCGUUUGCGCAGUGGAUUGCAGUUGGGGUAGUUGGAGUUCAUGUAGCGUUGAAUGUGGAAAUGGCACCAGAAUUCGGAAGAUUAGUCAAGCAGCUACAAUGAGUGGUCAGAUGUGUACAGGACCAUCGACUGAGAUCUGCAUAGUCACAUCUUGUAUGGCAACCAAUCUAUCUGCCUCUCUUGGAGCAACAGUGACCAUGAGUUCAGUGCACAGUUCUCCGUUUGUUGCUGCAAAAGCUAUAGAUGGCAAUCCAAAAAUGGUUACUGGACAGAAACUUGAAGGCACCGAUUGUGCCGCUACAACGGAGUCUGUCAAUCCUUGGCUUCGAGUUGACUUGCAAAAGGAAUAUCUUGUGUCACUUGUUAGAAUUAUCCCUAUAGGCGACAGAGGUGAGAAUGUGUAUGUUCAUGUUGGUAACAGCUUAACAAACAAUGGGAAUGACAACCACGAGUGUGGAAAGGCUCCAUAUGACGGCGUUUCCUCUAAUGCAAUAUGGCGAGAUGUUAACUGCAGCCCACCAGUUUGGGGAAGAUACAUUAAUUUGCAUAGAAUAGGGACGAAUCUCAUACUUAUGUUAUGUGAGGUGGCUUUCAACUAUGGUUAGAUGAUGUUGUGGUGUAGGUAGGUGUUGAAUGAAGAGUAAAUGUGUUGUGGUUGUAGAGUUGGAGAUUGCUAUUCUAGACAAUAAUAUGCAUAUUGAAGGAAAAAGUGUGACAGUUGAUGAUAAUCAAGAUUACUCUAAUCCUAUUGAUUGUGGUGUCAGUCCUGAUGUGACCAACUUUAAUGCUCUCUUGCAAUGGAAACACAGCACAGCCAAUGACGUACCAUCUUCAAGUGUACAGAAUGCUGGUGUAUAUCAGAUGUAUGAGAAUGGUGUGCAGCGGCUCUACAUCAAGUCAGCUAGUGCCUCUGACAGAGGAGUGUAUACAUGUCAAUAUACCACAACUGAUGGUUCUAUAGUGUCAAAGUCGUUUACAUUGAAUGUUCUUGUGGGGAAAUACUGUGUGGUGUUCUUUACGAAUGAGUGGAAGUUACUACGUAUAUAAUGGUUUACAACACAUGAAUUUUGCACAGCUGUAAACUGCUACUCUUAAACUAAUUCGAUGCAGUUUUUGACUUUGUUAGGCAUUGGAAUGUUUUCUCUUUGCUAUGAACCUUAGAUCUACUGUUUAUGGACAACACAGUUUCUGGUAUUGUAUUUAC